AUGAUAUGAAAAGCCUAAGUACGCCGUGUCCUACGGCAAUGGCUACGUGACCCCACAUCCAGUGGG
rnacentral:sRNA from 1 species